rnacentral:rRNA from 1 species
CCUACGGGAGGCAGCAGUGAGGAAUAUUGGUCAAUGGUCGGGAGACUGAACCAGCCAAGCCGCGUGCGGGAUGAAGGUACAGAGUAUCGUAAACCUCUUUUGUCAGGGAACAAAGGCGGGGACGUGUCCCCGGAUGAGUGUACCUGAAGAAAAAGCAUCGGCUAACUCCGUGCCAUCAGCCGCGGUAAUACGGAGGAUGCGGGCGGUGUCCGGUUUUAUUGGGUUUAUGGGGUGCGCAGGCGGUCUUUUAAGUCAGCGGUAAAAGCCCGGGGCUCAACCCCGUCCCGCCGUUGAAACUGGCAGUCUCGAGUUGGAGAGAGGUAUGCGGAAUGCGCGGUGUAGCGGUGAAAUGCAUAGAUAUCGCGCAGAACUCCGAUUGCGAAGGCAGCAUGCCGGCUCCACACUGACGCUGAGGCACGAAAGCGUGGGUAUCGAACAGGAUUAGAUACCCUAGUAGUC